AUGCUGCUUCGCCCGCAGACUUUCGACACCAUAGUCUUCUGCGAUCUCCACUGGAACCUCAUAGUUUACCCGCGCAGGGAUCGUCUCAACGAGCUGGGCCUAGCGGACAGCUUCGUUAUCUCAGUUGAAAUCGACUACGUGUCUCGGGGACGUCUCAUUGACUCGGGCCUCCACAGAGACAUCUCCAUAGGAAUCGAAAUCCUAGACGUGACCGGCCGGCACACCGUCUUCCAAGAUGGGAACUUCCUGCCGGGGUCGACGCCCGGCGGAGACUACGUGAUGCUGUUCGUCUCAAGGAGGGAGCUGGAGGCAUCGUCGUGUGUCCGCGACGGCAGCUUUCCCAUCAGGUGCACCAUGACUACGAAGCAGGCAGCAAGACGAAGCUUGUCUGCAUCCAAGGAGCUUAUGGCCAUGGACGCCAUGGUUGGGUCCCACACGCUCGCCGUCGGCAGCUUCUCCAAGCUUAAGGCCGCGCUCCGCCACAUGGAAAGCGCCUACUCCACGCACUUCACCAUAGGGGGAUGCACAUGGUAUCUCAAAUUAUGCCCUGACAACAGUGAUGGAUUAACCUUUGUGUUCCUGGUGUGCGCAAGUAAGGCGGACGAGACGCCAACGACGGCGGAGUUCAGUUUUGAGCUUGAGGGGAUGCUGAACUUUGAGUCCCAGAAAAUGAGGCACACGUUCCACCAUACCAUCCAUCAACGCUUCUUUAGAUACCGGCUGGAGCCGCUGAGCUCAUCCUCAGCCAUGCACGACGACCGCCUUCUUAUUCGGUGCCAUCUUGCCGUCAUCCCUCCCCAUGUGACGAUUCAGAUUCCGGUCACCACCCCAAGCACUGAAUCAGUAUUAACUCCUCUACUGAGAGCCAUGUAUGAUUGA
rnacentral:rRNA from 1 species